rnacentral:rRNA from 1 species
GACAGAGGGGGCAAGCGUUGCUCGGAAUUACUGGGCGUAAAGGGCGCGUAGGCGGGAUGGCAAGUCGGUCGUGAAAUCCCUCGGCUCAACCGAGGAACGUCGAUCGAUACUGCUGUUCUUGAGGAUUGCAGAGGAGACUGGAAUUCCCGGUGUAGCGGUGAAAUGCGCAGAUAUCAGGAGGAACACCGGUGGCGAAGGCGGGUCUCUGGGGCCGAUACUGACGUGAGGAGCGAAAGCGUGGGGAGCGAACAGG